rnacentral:rRNA from 1 species
GGACCUGACUGCUAUCGGAUUGCACACUAAGCCAUGCGAGUCAUUGUAGUAAUACAAGGCAGACGGCUCAGUAACGCGUAGUCAACCUACCCUAUGGACGGGGAUAACCUCGGGAAACUGAGAAUAAUACCCGAUAGAACAUUAUGCCUGGAAUGGUUUAUGUUUCAAAUAAUUUAUUGCCGUAGGAUGGGACUGCGGCCUAUCAGUUUGUUGGUGAGGUAAUGGCCCACCAAGACUAUUACAGGUACGGGCUCUGAGAGGAGUAGCCCGGAGAUGGGUACUGAGACACGGACCCAGGCCCUAUGGGGCGCAGCAGGCGAGAAAACUUUGCAAUGUGCGAAAGCACGACAAGGUUAAUCCGAGUGGUUUCUGCUAAAGGAACCUUUUGUCAGUCCUAGAAACACUGGUGAAUAAGGGGUGGGCAAGUUCUGGUGU